UACGGGGGGGGCAAGCGUUGUUCGGAAUUACUGGGCGUAAAGGGCUCGUAGGUGGCCAACUAAGUCAGACGUGAAAUCCCCAGGCUUAACCUGGGAACUGCGUCUGAUACUGGAUGGCUUGAAUUCGGGAGAGGGAUGCAGAAUUCCAGGUGUAGCGGUGAAAUGCGUAGAUAUCUGGAGGAAUACCGGUGGCGAAGGCGGCUUCCUGGCCCGUAGCUGACGCUGAGGCGCGAAAGCGUGGGGAGCAAACAGG
rnacentral:rRNA from 1 species